CGCGUCUCGGCCCCGCGCGCGGGCCUGCAGCCCAGGGCGGCCCCCGCGGAGAGCGCGCCUCGCGCUGAAGCCGCGGCGGCCGGCGCCUACGCACUCGGAGGGAAACCGAGAGCAGCCGAGCGGACAAAACCGGUAUGUGGCAAUAGAAACAGCACAAGGUGGCCCAGACCUGGGGAGCAGGUGACUGGCAAGGGGCACCGAGGAACCCUGGGGGCUGAGAUCUGCGUCCAGUUGGUGGGGGAAGGCAACAUAGACGUGAAGGAAAAAAAGCUUUCCAAAGGACAGUGCUAUGGUCUCGUGGGUAUCGGGCUAAAACUACUGGCUGUCCAGGUAUCUUUCAUUCUUUCUGGGUCAGGGACGGUCUAGUGAUGUCCAAAUUGUGUGAAGUCGAUUCCUUAUGUCAAUAACAUCUUUAUACAAAAGGAGAGAGCUUUUAUUUCCCUAGAUAAUACUCUGAGAGAACAGCUUUAACUGGCUCAUGAUUAUCAGGGCACAAGGAAGAACAUGAAUGACCCAAUUUUCAUGCUAUAAUAGGAUUUUACAUGGGUGUU